rnacentral:rRNA from 1 species
UACGAAGGGUGCAAGCGUUACUCGGAAUUACUGGGCGUAAAGGGUGCGUAGGCGGCCCUGUAAGUAUGGUGUGAAAUCUCCCGGCUUAACUGGGAGGGUGCGCUAUAGACUGCGGGGCUCGAGUGUGGGAGAGGAAAGUGGAAUUCCUGGUGUAGCGGUGAAAUGCGUAGAUAUCAGGAGGAACACCGGUGGUGUAAACGGCUUUCUGGACCAUAACUGACGCUGAGGCACGAAAGCGUGGGUAGCAAACAGG